UGGGGAAUUUUGGACAAUGGGGGAAACCCUGAUCCAGCCAUCCCGCGUGUGCGAUGAAGGCCUUCGGGUUGUAAAGCACUUUUGGCAGGAAAGAAACGUCAUGGGUUAAUACCCCGUGAAACUGACGGUACCUGCAGAAUAAGCACCGGCUAACUACGUGCCAGCAGCCGCGGUAAUACGUAGGGGGCAAGCGUUAAUCGGAAUUACUGGGCGUAAAGCGUGCGCAGGCGGUUCGGAAAGAAAGAUGUGAAAUCCCAGAGCUCAACUUUGGAACUGCAUUUUUAACUACCGGGCUAGAGUGUGUCAGAGGGAGGUGGAAUUCCGCGUGUAGCAGUGAAAUGCGUAGAUAUGCGGAGGAACACCGAUGGCGAAGGCAGCCUCCUGGGAUAACACUGACGCUCAUGCACGAAAGCGUGGGGAGCAAACAGG
rnacentral:rRNA from 1 species